rnacentral:rRNA from 1 species
GGGGUGCACCAGGCGCGAAACCUUUGCCAUGCGCGAAAGCGUGACAGGGGAAUUCCGAGUGGUAGGGGGGUUUACCUCCCUAUCUUUUGGCCAAUCCAAACAAUUGGCAGAAUAAGAUCUGGGUAAGACCAGUGCCAGCCGCCGCGGUAAUACUGGCAGAGCAAGUGGUAUCCACGAAUAUUGGGUCUAAAGAGUCCGUAGCGGGCCUGUUAAGUCCACUGUGAAAUCUGGCGGCUCAACCGUCAGGCGUGCAGUGGAUACUGGCAGGCUUGGGAGUGGGGGAGGUCGGGAGUACUCACGGGGUAACGGUAAAAUGUUGUAAUCCUGUGAGGACUACCAGUGGCGAAGGCGCCCGACCAAAACACGUCCGACCGUGAGGGACGAAGGCUAGGAGAACGAAUCGGAUUAGAUACCCGAGUAGCCCUAGCGGUAAAUUAUGCAGACUGUGGUGUUGCGUCGACUUCGAGUCGGCGCAGUGCUGUAGCGUAGGUGUUAAGUCUGCCACCUGGGGAGUACGGCCGCAAGGUUGAAACUUAAAGGAAUUGGCGGGGGAGCAC